AUUAAAUCAGUUAUUAUUUACAUGAUAAUCGAAAGUUACAUGGAUAACCGUGACAAAUUACAGCUAAUACAUGCAUUCAGACCUGGUCCAAGGGUCGUAAUUAUUAGUAUUAAACCUCUGCCGCAAGGCGUGUGAUGAAUCAUAAUAAUCGAACGAAUCGCAGAAUUCUGCGAUAAAUCAUUCAAGUUUCUGCCCUAUCAGCUUUGGAUGGUAGUGUAUUGGACUACCAUGGCAGUCACGGGUAACGGAGAAUUAGGGUUCGAUUCCGGAGAGGGAGCCUGAGAAACGGCUACCACAUCUACGGAAGGCAGCAGGCGCGAAAAUUGCCCAAUCCCGACACGGGGAGGCAGUGACAAGAAAUAACAACUCUUGGAUUUCUAAGAAGUGUAAUGAGGAUAAUUUACAACCCUUACCGAAAGCAAUUGGAGGGCAAGUCUGGUGCCAGCAGCCGCGGUAAUUCCAGCUCCAAUAGCAUAUAUUAAAGUUGUUGCAGUUAAAAAGCUCGUAGUUGAAGUUCUGGCUGUUCGAUCCUCGAGCUCUGUAGCCGAGGACUCGACAGUCAUCCGCUUGCAAUUAUAUGUUCUCCUUUAACCGGGAGGCUAUAUGAGUAAGCAUUUUACCUUGAGAAAAACAGAGUGUUCCAGGCAGGUAUGUCCGGAAUGCGUUAGCAUGGAAUAAUAGAAUAUGACUGAAGUCGAUUUAUUGGUUUGAGGCUUUAGUAAUGAUUAAUAGGAACAGUCGGGGGCAUUGGUACUUGACAGUCAGAGGUGAAAUUCUAGGAUUUGUCAAAGACUAACAAAUGCGAAAGCAUUUGCCAAGGAUGUUUUCAUUAAUCAAGAACGAAAGUUAGGGGAUCAAAGACGAUCAGAUACCGUCCUAGUCUUAACUAUAAACUAUACCGACUCGGAUUCGGAUGAAUCAAAAAGUUCAUUCGGGACCGUAGGAGAAAUCAAAGUUUUUGGGUUCUGGGGGAAGUAUGGUCGCAAGGCUGAAACUUAAAGGAAUUGACGGUUUUGCACCACCAUGGAGUGGAGUCUGCGGCUUAAUUUGACCCAACACUGGGAAACUCAUCAGGGCAAGAAGAUUUUAGGAUUGACAGAUUGAGAGUUCUUUCUUGAUUGGUCUAGUGGUGGUGCAUGGCCGUUCUUAGUUGGUGGAGUGAUUUGUCUGGUUAAUUCCGUUAACGAACGAGACCUUAACCUGCUAACUAGUGUCUCCAUCUCAAAUGGAGAGCACUUCUUAGAGGGACUAUGUGAUGUAAUCACAUGGAAGUUUGAGGCAAUAACAGGUCUGUGAUGCCCUUAGAUGUUCUGGACUGCACGCGUAAUACAAUGAUUGCAUCAACGAG
rnacentral:rRNA from 1 species